AAGUCAAAAACUUCAAAGUUCAGACUUCGGACCGUAACUCUGAAGACUUUCUUUCAUAAUUCCAGAACGACCUCAAAAUUUCUCCUCAGUGAAUUUUGAUGGAUAGUUCAGAAGAUCCGAGCAAUGCUUGUGUUGAUGGAGACGCGUCGACUUCAGGUGGCCCAGGAUACCGGUUGUUCGAUCGGAGAUCCUCGAUUCAUCAGAUAAUGGGCGGUGGUAAAGCUGCUGAUGUCUUAUUGUGGAAGCGGAGGCGUGUUUCCUGUGGCACUAUUGUCGUAGCGACAGUUGCUUGGAUCCUAUUUGAGCGGUCUGGAUUAUCAUUUUUAUCAAUUUGUUCAGAUGUGUUGCUGAUUUUGAUCGUAGUGUUGUUUCUUCGUGCCAAUUAUGCUGCUUUUAGAAAUAAACAACUGAAAUCGUUACCUGAGCUAGAAUUGUCAGAGGAAAUGGUUAAUAGUGUUGCAGGAUCAUUUCGUGUGAAAAUCAAUUAUUUGCUGCUUAUGGCUCAUGAUAUCACACUUGGCAAGGACUUCAGACUUUUCUUCAAGGUGGUGCUCGGUUUGUGGCUCUUAUCUGUCGUUGGUAGCUCCUUUUCUUUCUUCACGCUAGCAUAUAUUGGAACUAUUAUAUCCAUUACAGUUCCUGCCUUGUACAGCAAAUAUGAAGAGCAUGUGGAUAAAUAUUUCGGGAUAAUCCACCGAAAGUUUUCAAAGCACUAUAAACUAGUGGAUGAGAGUGUCAUUCGCAGAAUUCCGCCGGGUUUAUCAAAGGACAAAGAGACAUAAAUUUGAUAUUCUGUGUAUAUUCAAAUUUGGGAGGCUGCUCAGAAAUCUUUGGUAGAUGUGUUUGAUGUUUCUUUUUCAUUAGAUCGGAGCAGUAUACAUCCCUCAGCCUUUAACUGAACAGGAUCCAGCGAACUGGGAACCUGUGAUUUUGAAGUUCAAAGAGGCAAGUUUCCUUUUGUUGUUGAUGCUUGAAAUACAGAUUAAAGCCAUUGGAUUUAUGAAUAAUGUGGAACCUCUUACUGUGAAGAAUAAUAAAAUAGGGCGGAUGUAGCAAGGGAGGUAGUUUUCUUCAGGUGAGUGAAGAUGGACUUGCUCAGCAGGGAUUUUCGCAGGUAUCUGAAACAGGAUCUGAGGGGAGAGUUGCAGCAGCAAGUUUUCUCUACAUUUUUUGCAGUAGUAGUUGGUCUCUGUACUUUGGAUUUUGAUAUGUUAAUCUAACCUUGACGAAAUUACUGGCUGAGAUUUGAAUAUUUUUGAUA